CCUACGGGUGGCAGCAGUGAGGAAUAUUGGUCAAUGGGCGAGAGCCUGAACCAGCCAAGUCGCGUGAGGGAGGACGGCCCUACGGGUUGUAAACCUCUUUUGCCGGGGGACAAACGGCGGCACGCGUGCCGUCCUGAGGGUACCCGGAGAAAAAGCAUCGGCUAACUCCGUGCCAGCAGCCGCGGUAAUACGGGGGAUGCGAGCGUUAUCCGGAUUUAUUGGGUUAAAAGGGUGCGUAGGCGGGAUGCAAAGUCAGCGGGAAAAUACGGGGGCCCAACCUGCGUCCGACGUUGAAACUGGCGUUCUUGAGUGGGCGAGAGGUACGCGGAAUGCGUGGUGUAGCGGUGAAAUGCAUAGAUAUCACGCAGAACCCCGGUUGCGAAGGCAGCGUACCGGCGCCCAACUGACGCUGAGGCACGAAAGCGUGGGUAUCGAACAGGAUUAGAUACCCGUGUAGUC
rnacentral:rRNA from 1 species